rnacentral:rRNA from 2 species
GAUCCUGGCUCAGGAUGAACGCUGGCGGCGUGCCUAAUACAUGCAAGUCGAGCGAACAGAUGAGAAGCUUGCUUCUCUGAUGUUAGCGGCGGACGGGUGAGUAACACGUGGGUAACCUACCUAUAAGACUGGGAUAACUCCGGGAAACCGGGGCUAAUACCGGAUAAUAUUUUGAACCGCAUGGUUCAAUAGUGAAAGACGGUUUCGGCUGUCACUUAUAGAUGGACCCGCGCCGUAUUAGCUAGUUGGUAAGGUAACGGCUUACCAAGGCGACGAUACGUAGCCGACCUGAGAGGGUGAUCGGCCACACUGGAACUGAGACACGGUCCAGACUCCUACGGGAGGCAGCAGUAGGGAAUCUUCCGCAAUGGGCGAAAGCCUGACGGAGCAACGCCGCGUGAGUGAUGAAGGUCUUCGGAUCGUAAAACUCUGUUGUUAGGGAAGAACAAAUUUGUUAGUAACUGAACAAGUCUUGACGGUACCUAACCAGAAAGCCACGGCUAACUACGUGCCAGCAGCCGCG